UAAUACGAGGGGGGCUAGCGUUGUCCGGAUUUAUUGGGUGUAAAGGGCUCGUAGGCGGGCCGAUCAGUCGGGACUUAAAGACCACGGCUUAACCGUGGGAGUGGUCUCGAAACUGUCGGUCUUGAGUAUGGUAGAGGAAGGCGGAAUUCCUGGUGUAGCGGUGAAAUGCGUAGAUAUCAGGAAGAACACCGAUGGCGAAGGCAGCCUUCUGGGCCAAAACUGACGCUGAGGAGCGAAAGCGUGGGUAGCGAACAGGAUUAGAUACCCUGGUAGUCCACGCCGUAAACGAUGAGUACUUGGUGGUGGGGGAUUCGACCCCUUCACUGCCGGAGCUAACGCGUUAAGUACUCCACCUGGGGACUACGACCGCAAGGUUG
rnacentral:rRNA from 1 species